rnacentral:lncRNA from 1 species
AAGAAAGGAUCUUUUAAUUUAAAUAAAAAUCACUGUAUUGCAUGGAAGAUAAAAACGUUUACUCUUUUACUGGAAAACAACAAACACAACUCUACUUUGAACAUUUUUAUUUUUUUUUUUUCAGUCAAGUGCCAGAAAACUAAAACAGACUUAAAAGUAUGAUGCCAUGAUGUGCUUCCUUUCAAGCUAGUUAAACUCUGAGAAGUUUAACCAACUGCUGCAGCUGUUUCCAUGCCUUCUACAAAUUAGGAGCAAAGACGCGUUUGCAUCAUGGGCCACUCUGACAAGAAGGUGAACUUGAUCAAAGCAACUGCGCUAUUAGGUAGGGAGAAAAGCAAGCAUGGAAGAAUUAGCUCCCAUUUUUUUCCAAAAGAGAUUUCAGGCUCAAGACACUAGUAAUAUGAAACAUUAUAUAAAAUAAGGACUACGUUUAUGUAGUUGAUUGGUCAGAAAGUAAGCAAAGUAAGAGUUCACAAAUCCUAAGAAUUACAUCUAAGGGACUUAUGAAACAAAAGUGUAAGAUAAUGGGUAAGAUAAUAAGGUUAUGUAAAUAAAACCAAGCAUAUAUAGGCUUAUAUGCAUAUAUGUACACACAUCUUCUAAACUUUCUACAAGGCGCAUCCUACAAAGCACUCUAUCCUUACAAAGCAUAACUAUCAAAAGGUAUCUCUCCCUACUGGAAGAUAUUUAGAUGUUCACAAAACAAAAAACACCAAAAGAUGUCAACUAAAGCAUACUUACACUGAGAAAUUUAAGAUUAAAAAAAAAAAAAAAAAAAAAAUCCCUGCAAAUGUAGAAGACAAUCAUACUUCAUUGUGUAAAGAACUGGCUGGUACCAUUUUCUCUAAAUCAAGAACAGAAAAAGACGUGAACUGAAAAGAUGAUUUGAGUAUCAGAUCAAAAACUGCUGAAAAUAUACUGACUGAAGUCAGAUGUCCACUCCUUCUUUUACAAGGCUUCAUGAGGAAAUUUUAUUUUCUGAUGAGUUUUAUUCCUAUCUCAUUACCAUUU